rnacentral:rRNA from 1 species
CAGCAGCCGCGGUAAUACGGAGGGUGCAAGCGUUAUCCGGAUUUAUUGGGUUUAAAGGGUGCGUAGGCGGGAGAUUAAGUCAGUGGUGAAAUCCUACAGCCUAACUGUAGAAAUGCCAUUGAUACUGGUUUUCUUGAGUAUAGUUGAAGUGGGCGGAAUGUGUAUUGUAGCGGUGAAAUGCUUAGAUAUUACACAGAACACCUAUUGCGAAGGCAGCUCACUAAACUAAUACUGACGCUGAGGCACGAAAGCGUGGGGAGCAAACAGGAUUAGAUACCCUGGUAGUCCACGCCGUAAACGUUGAUUACUCGAUGUGUGCGAUACACUGUACGCGUCUGAGCGAAAGCAUUAAGUAAUCCACCUGGGGAGUACGAUCGCAAGAUUGAAACUCAAAGGAAUUGACGGGGGCCCGCACAAGCGGAGGAGCAUGUGGUUUAAUUCGAUGAUACGCGAGGAACCUUACCUCGGCUUAAAUGUAAUUGAUUUCCACCGAAAGGUGGUUUCCCUUCGGGGCAAACUGCAAGGUGCUGCAUGGUUGUCGUCAGCUCGUGCCGUGAGGUGUCGGGUUAAGUCCCAUAACGAGCGCAACCCCUAUCGUUAGUUGCCAGCGAGUAAUGUCGGGGACUCUAACGAGACUGCCGGUGUAAACCGUGAGGAAGGUGGGGAUGACGUCAAAUCAGCACGGCCCUUAUGUCCAGGGCUACACACGUGUUACAAUGGCCAGUACAGAGGGCAGCUACCUGGUGACAGGUUGCAAAUCUCGAAAACUGGUCCUAGUUCGGAUCGAAGUCUGCAACUCGACUUCGUGAAGCUGGAUUCGCUAGUAAUCGCGCAUCAGCCAUGGCGCGGUGAAUACGUUCCCGGGCCUUGUACACACCGCCCGUCAAGCCAUGGAAGUUGGGGGUGCCUGAAGUCCGUAACCGCAAGGAGCGGCCUAAGGUAAAACCAGUGACUGCGGCUAAGUCGUAACAAGGUAACCGUA